GCUUCUUCAUUGCCUCUCUGUUCAGUCACUGCCGUUGCGGUCGAGUGAACCUCCGGCGGCCACCGCACUUGCUCUUGCUCAUUGCUUAUUUUCUUGUCGUUAUAUUUUGCACUGGAACGAUGACACCACUCUUGAAUAUGAUGAUGCUUCGAUUUGCUGCUUCUUCGACUGUUUCUGCGGCUGUGAUUUCUUUGAUUAAACUAAUUAGGAGGGAGAGGUGGUGUCUACGACUAGAAGAAAUGACAAGAAUACUGUUAAUCCUAUUAAGCCAGUAGGAAAUGACAUACCCUCGCUGCCACAAUUGGAACCCACACAGCAACAAAUAGGCAAGGCCAACCCAUAUAGCUUUAACUAGGGCAGGGUGAGCCAACUAUGAGGCAAAUGAUGGAUCUAUUAUAGGAUUUUAGUAACCAUAUGAAGAAGCAAGAAGAAGAGUUGGCCACUUUGAGGCAAUAGAAAGAGAAUGCCAACUGAGAGGGAAAUGACCAACAAUAAGGAAAGCAUACCAAGGUAUAUACUGUGAGUUUAAUCCGCUAAUGAGGACUCACCUUCCCAUUCUUACCAUG